rnacentral:rRNA from 1 species
GAUGAAGAACGCAGCGAAAUGCGAUAAGUAAUGUGAAUUGCAGAAUUCAGUGAAUCAUCGAAUCUUUGAACGCACCUUGCGCUCCUUGGUAUUCCGAGGAGCAUGCCUGUUUGAGUGUCAUUAAAUUCUCAACCUCACCAGUUUUCUAAACUGUUCUUCG